AACCACAGCCCAUCACCAGACCUAAAUCAAAGCAGGAAAGCCGGAACAUCCAAUGUUUGGUGAAGGCGUACCCAAAAUUCCCACUAAGCAUAUUGGAAUACAUCGCGGAAUAUUGGCAGCACCUCAAAGGCUCCCAUGGUCUGGGUAAAAGGAUCGAAAAUCAAAGAUCCAAAGUGGGUAGAAUCAUGGCUUUCCUUUCGUUUAUAACCGAGGGCCAGACAAUCCUCCAGAAUUGGACUUUCCUUCCCAAUAUGUCCAGGAUAUACCAAGCAUCUGCAGAAUGGUGGAAAAGCGGAGAACACAGUGAAGACCUACCUGGUGAAUUUGUCACAGUUCCUGGGCUACUUCAGGGACACUCCUCCAACUUCGUCAAGAGUUCCAAAAAGAGAAGUGUUUGCCGUGAUUCGUGCUAUCUCAGAGUGUAUUGCAAGCCUGGGUCCACGUGUUGUCAUGCGUCAGAUACGUGUAAAGAAAAAUAAGUUGAGCAGAACCAUCUCCAAGGACCAACUUCGCCUCUGCAAAGUCCUGGCCAG